rnacentral:rRNA from 1 species
UGAGCAAUCUGCCCUUCUCUUUGGAAUAAGCGUUGGAAACGACGUCUAAUGCCGAAUACGACCUCCUUUCGCAUGAUCGGAGGUGGAAAGCUCCGGCGGAGAAGGAUGAGCUCGCGGCCUAUCAGCUAGUUGGUGUGGGUAAUGGCCCACCAAGGCGACGACGGGUAGCCGGCCUGAGAGGGUGACCGGCCACACUGGGACUGAGACACGGCCCAGACUCCGUACGGGAGGNAG